GCCCCUAUAGCUCAGCUGGUAGAGCGCCUGAUUUGUAAUCAGGAUGUCGGGAGUUCGAGUCUCUCUGGGGGCACCA
rnacentral:tRNA from 2 species